rnacentral:pre_miRNA from 1 species
UAUAUUGUUUAUAUUCAACGUUUGAUCAUUCAUCUUAUUUAAAAAUUAUAAUUAAUAUUUUUAUUAUUUUUAGAUAAUAAAAUAUAAAUAUUAUUUUAUGUGUGACUAUUUUUUUUAGAUUUUUUUAUAAAUUUUUUAAAUAAGACGAACGGUCAAACGUUAAAUACAAAAAUUUACUAAUGCAGUUAUA